UGCAAGUCGAGCGGACAGAAGGGAGCUUGCUCCCGGAUGUUAGCGGCGGACGGGUGAGUAACACGUGGGUAACCUGCCUGUAAGACUGGGAUAACUCCGGGAAACCGGAGCUAAUACCGGAUAGUUCCUUGAACCGCAUGGUUCAAGGAUGAAAGACGGUUUCGGCUGUCACUUACAGAUGGACCCGCGGCGCAUUAGCUAGUUGGUGGGGUAAUGGCUCACCAAGGCGACGAUGCGUAGCCGACCUGAGAGGGUGAUCGGCCACACUGGGACUGAGACACGGCCCAGACUCCUACGGGAGGCAGCAGUAGGGAAUCUUCCGCAAUGGACGAAAGUCUGACGGAGCAACGCCGCGUGAGUGAUGAAGGUUUUCGGAUCGUAAAGCUCUGUUGUUAGGGAAGAACAAGUGCGAGAGUAACUGCUCGCACCUUGACGGUACCUAACCAGAAAGCCACGGCUAACUACGUGCCAGCAGCCGCGGUAAUACGUAGGUGGCAAGCGUUGUCCGGAAUUAUUGGGCGUAAAGGGCUCGCAGGCGGUUUCUUAAGUCUGAUGUGAAAGCCCCCGGCUCAACCGGGGAGGGUCAUUGGAAACUGGGAAACUUGAGUGCAGAAGAGGAGAGUGGAAUUCCACGUGUAGCGGUGAAAUGCGUAGAGAUGUGGAGGAACACCAGUGGCGAAGGCGACUCUCUGGUCUGUAACUGACGCUGAGGAGCGAAAGCGUG
rnacentral:rRNA from 1 species